rnacentral:rRNA from 1 species
GCGGAGGGAUCAUUACUGAGUGAGGGCCUUCGGGCUCGACCUCCAACCCUUUGUGAACACAACUUGUUGCUUCGGGGGCGACCCUGCCGUUUCGACGGCGAGCGCCCCCGGAGGCCUUCAAACCCUGCAUCUUUGCGUCGGAGUUUAAGUAAAUUAAACAAAACUUUCAACAACGGAUCUCUUGGUUCUGGCAUCGAUGAAGAACGCAGCGAAAUGCGAUAAGUAAUGUGAAUUGCAGAAUUCAGUGAAUCAUCGAAUCUUUGAACGCACAUUGCGCCCUCUGGUAUUCCGGAGGGCAUGCCUGUUCGAGCGUCAUUUCACCACUCAAGCCUGGCUUGGUAUUGGGCGCCGCGGUGUAUCCGCGCGCCUCAAAGUCUCCGGCUGAGCUGUCCGUCUCUAAGCGUUGUGAUUUCAUUAAUCGCUUCGGAGUGCGGGCGGUCGCGGCCGUUAAAUCUUUUCAAAGGUUGACCUCGGAUCAGGUAGGGAUACCCGCUG